UCCCUGGUGGCUCAGAUGGUAAAGUGUCUGCCUGCAAUGCGGGAGACCCGGGUUUGAUUCCUGGGUCGGGAA
rnacentral:tRNA from 1 species